CCUACGGGAGGCAGCAGUAGGGAAUCUUCGGCAAUGGACGGAAGUCUGACCGAGCAACGCCGCGUGAGUGAAGAAGGUUUUCGGAUCGUAAAGCUCUGUUGUAAGAGAAGAACGAGUGUGAGAGUGGAAAGUUCACACUGUGACGGUAUCUUACCAGAAAGGGACGGCUAACUACGUGCCAGCAGCCGCGGUAAUACGUAGGUCCCGAGCGUUGUCCGGAUUUAUUGGGCGUAAAGCGAGCGCAGGCGGUUAGAUAAGUCUGAAGUUAAAGGCUGUGGCUUAACCAUAGUACGCUUUGGAAACUGUUUAACUUGAGUGCAAGAGGGGAGAGUGGAAUUCCAUGUGUAGCGGUGAAAUGCGUAGAUAUAUGGAGGAACACCGGUGGCGAAAGCGGCUCUCUGGCUUGUAACUGACGCUGAGGCUCGAAAGCGUGGGGAGCAAACAGGAUUAGAUACCCUGGUAGUCCACGCCGUAAACGAUGAGUGCUAGGUGUUAGACCCUUUCCGGGGUUUAGUGCCGCAGCUAACGCAUUAAGCACUCCGCCUGGGGAGUACGACCGCAAGGUUGAAACUCAAAGGAAUUGACGGCUGCUGCCUCCCGUAGG
rnacentral:rRNA from 1 species